CUUCGGUACAUCGGUGCAGGUGGUGCAUGGUUGUCGUUCAGCUCGUGUCGUGAGAUGUUGGGUUAAGUCCCGCAACGAGCGCAACCCCUAUUGUUAGUUUGCCAUCAUUCAGUUGGGCACUCUAGCGAGACUGCCGGUAAUAAACCGGAGGAAGUGGGGAUGACGUCAAAUCAUCAUGCCCCUUAUGACCUGGGCUACACACGUGCUACAAUGGUUGGUACAACGAGUUGCGAGUCGGUGACGGCGAGCUAAUCUCUUAAAGCCAAUCUCAGUUCGGAUUGUAGGCUGCAACUCGCCUACAUGAAGUCGGAAUCGCUAGUAAUCGCGGAUCAGCACGCCCGCGGUCCGAAUACGUUCCGGCCUU
rnacentral:rRNA from 1 species